CCUGCACGUAGGGAGUAAAUUGGCCUCUGUUUUGCCGUGCUAUACUGUUUUACUCUCAGCAACCCAAAAUAAAAAGGGAAUUUCUGAUACCAUUUGAGCUUGGAAGUUUGAGAUGUAAAACCUGUUGUUAGGAUCCAUAUAUUUCUAAAUUCGAUACUUGGAUAUUGUUUUGGAAAGUUCAGAAAUCUGUGGCUUCUUUGCUGUUAUGUGUUUUGUGGGAAAUUAAUGUUAAUGUGGGAAUCCUGUGUUGUUUGAGAGCAUUAAUGAAGCUGUCAAGGGCCAGGGUAUAGCCUGGCUGGUGCCCAAAGGCUUCAUGAGCCACCGAUGCUCUUUAUUUCAUUGUCUUCACCAGUGUAGCUCUGCAUGGGGUAAGGGCUUAAUUUAUUCAUGUUGGGUGCACCCUGACUGUCCACAACCCAUUUUUUUUUCUUUUUUUUCAGAGCUGGGGACCGAACCCAGGGCCUUGCGCCUGCUAGGCAAGCGCUCUACCACUGAGCUAAAUCCCCAACUCCUGUCCACAACCCAUUAACCAACUCGUACAGAUGUGUCUUUUUUAGAUUUGUCUAUAAGUACACUGUAGCUGUCUUCAGACACAUCAGAAGAGGGCAUCAGGUCCCAUUACAGAUGGUUGUGAGCCACCAUGUGGUUUCUGGGACCUCAGGGCCUCUGGAAGAGCAGUCAGUGCUCUUAAAGGCUGAGCCAUCUCUCCAGCCCCAGACGUACCUUUUUUUUUUUUAAAAAAAAGUUGUACUAUGUAGCUCUGGCUGGCUUCUGCUUUAGGUAUUGUGAAUAGGGUGUCCAAACCAUAAAC
rnacentral:lncRNA from 1 species